GAUGAAGAACGCAGCGAAAUGCGAUAAGUAAUGCGAAUUGCAGAAUUUCUAGUGAGUCAUCGAAUCUUUGAACGCACAUUGCGCCCUUUGGUAUUCCGAAGGGCAUGCCUGUUCGAGCGUCAUUAUCAACCCUCAAGCCUGGCUUGUUGUUGGACCUCAGGUCGCCGCUCCGGUGGACCGGUCUCAAAGACAAUGACGGCGUCCGUGGGACCCUCGGUGCAAUGAGCUUCUUCCAAAGCACGCAUCAGAGUGGGCUCGCGGGGGCCGUCUCCCCGUCAUAUUUAAUCAAGGUUGACCUCGGAUCAGGUAGGAAUACCCGCUGAACUUAAGCAUAUCAAUAAGCGGAGGA
rnacentral:misc_RNA from 1 species